rnacentral:rRNA from 1 species
UGGCCUACGGGAGGCUGCAGUAAGGAAUAUUGCGCAAUGGACGAAAGUCUGACGCAGCGACGCCGCGUGGGGGAUGAAGGUCUUCGGAUUGUAAACCCCUUUCGGGAGGGAAGAUGGAGUGGGUAACCACUUGGACGGUACCUCCAGAAGCAGCCACGGCUAACUUCGUGCCAGCAGCCGCGGUAAUACGAAGGUGGCAAGCGUUGUUCGGAUUCACUGGGCGUACAGGGAGCGUAGGCGGUUAGGUAAGCCCUCCGUGAAAUGUCCGGGCCUAACCCGGAAAGUGCAGAGGGGACUGCUUGGCUAGAGGAUGGGAGAGGAGCGCGGAAUUCCCGGUGUAGCGGUGAAAUGCGUAGAGAUCGGGAGGAAGGCCGGUGGCGAAGGCGGCGCUCUGGAACAUUACUGACGCUGAGGCUCGAAAGCGUGGGGAGCAAACAGGAUUAGAUACCCUGGUAGUCUA